rfam:Candidatus Yanofskybacteria bacterium RIFCSPLOWO2_01_FTLL_49_25 rifcsplowo2_01_scaffold_1731, whole genome shotgun sequence.
ACCGGCUUUGAUGAGAGUACGUUUACAACAGGUGCGCGCCGAGAUCGUUCGCUACCUCGCAAAACUGGCGGACAAACUUCAAGUGCAAAAUCAAAUUAUACUUCGGCCUACGCAAGUGGGUACGGAGCGUUUGCAGUAGCGUAAGAAAUUACGCUACCGUCUAUCCCCCGAUUCUCGCUGAGGGGCAUAGGCGCCAAUAGCGAGGAACUCUGAUGGCCUAGCUUCUAUACUGGACCACCUCCGUAAUCCUUGUAGAACGUCAUGGACUUUUCGCUUGCUUAGCGGUCUAUGAUGUCAAUAAAGCAAGCUACGCGCGUAGUAUCUGUGUAAAUUCACUUUCAGACGUGGAUUCGACUUCCNNN